UGCUCUGGGCGGUGGGGCUGUGAUCUUCUGGGGCAGCGCAGCUGCAGAGCCUGGCCUGAACCGGUGGUCUGUGCUGUGCGGUGCGUGGCUGGCUCCAACUGGACGGCGCGGCUGCCUGUUAUGGUGUAGCCACGCCGCCAACCACCGGUGCUCCAGGCAGCAUGCUUGGGGCUGAGCACUUCCAGCUGAAGUCAAUGGGAGCUGUGCUUUGAACAUAUUACAUGCAGGUAUAAUGCUAAGUUCUCUGAAAAAGUCAAACCUGGAGUGUCUCAACUUGGAUACUCAAAGAGCACUGUGAAAUAAAUUUCAUGUUUGAGAAGCACACAGAUACUACAGUGAUGUGCAUCAUAGGAAAACAUCAAGGAAAUUAAUAAAUUCCAUCUUCAGAGCAGGAUUUGAAUGGUAUAUGUCAUCCUUGUGGCUUUUUUCUGAACGCUCCUCAAUUUAUCAACAUCCUUCUUGAAUUGUGGACAUCAAAACUGGACAUGCUAUUCCAGCAGUGGUCUCACCAAUGCCAAAU